GUGCUCACUUUGGCAGCACACAUACUAAAAUUGGAACGAUACAGAGAAGAUUAGCAUGGCCGUUGUGCAAGGAUGACAUGCAAAUUCGUGAAGCAUUCCAUAUUUUG
rnacentral:snRNA from 1 species